GUGAACGCUGGCGGUCGGCCUAACACAUGCAAGUCGAACGGCAGCACAGUAAGAGCUUGCUCUUACGGGUGGCGAGUGGCGGACGGGUGAGGAAUACAUCGGAAUCUACUUUUUCGUGAGGGAUAACGUAGGGAAACUUACGCUAAUACCGCAUACGACCUACGGGUGAAAGCAGGGGAUCUUCGGACCUUGCGCGAUUGAAUGAGCCGAUGUCGGAUUAGCUAGUUGGCGGGGUAAAGGCCCACCAAGGCGACGAUCCGUAGCUGGUCUGAGAGGAUGAUCAGCCACACUGGAACUGAGACACGGUCCAGACUCCUACGGGAGGCAGCAGUGGGGAAUAUUGGACAAUGGGCGCAAGCCUGAUCCAGCCAUACCGCGUGGGUGAAGAAGGCCUUCGGGUUGUAAAGCCCUUUUGUUGGGAAAGAAAAGCAGCAGGUUAAUACCCCGCUGUUCUGACGGUACCCAAAGAAUAAGCACCGGCUAACUUCGUG
rnacentral:rRNA from 1 species